CAUGCGGCUAUGAAGGAGAAAAGUAAAAUUCCCAUGUCUGACAGAGAGUGGGACUCGGCGGCUGGAAGGUCCCUCAGACUAAGAAUUUGAAACCCCGCUCCGGAGCUGUUCGGGAAUAACCGAACCGGUGGCCCCCGAUAUCAGGCAAAGAGGGAAUGCAGAGUUUGCCUGCAUUAACGAAGGUGGUACCGCGAAAGUGAACCUUUCGUCCUUUGG
rnacentral:ncRNA from 1 species